GCCAAAACGUGGUGUAGUGGCUAGCACGUCUGACCCGGCUUGUCAGAAGACGUGGGUUCAAAUCCCGCCGGUGGCG